AAUUGACGGGGACCCGCACAAGCGGUGGAGCAUGUGGUUUAAUCCGAAGCAACGCGAAGAACCUUACCAAGUCUUGACAUCUGGAUGACAGGGACGUAACGGUCCCCUUACUUCGGUACAUCCAAGACAGGUGGUGCAUGGUUGUCGUCAGCUCGUGUCGUGAGAUGUUGGGUUAAGUCCCGCAACGAGCGCAACCCUUAUCUUCAGUAGCCAGCAGGUAAAGCCGGGCACUCUGGAGAGACUGCCGGGGAUAACCCGGAGGAAGGUGGGGAUGACGUCAAAUCAUCAUGCCCCUUAUGAUUUGGGCUACACACGUGCUACAAUGGCGUAAACAGAGGGAAGCGAGCCCGCGAGGGGGAGCAAAUCCCAAAAAUAACGUCCCAGUUCGGAUUGUAGUCUGCAACCCGACUACAUGAAGCUGGAAUCGCUAGUAAUCGCGGAUCAGAAUGCCGCGGUGAAUACGUUCCCGGGUCUUGUACACACCGCCCGUCACACCAUGGGAGUCGGAAAUGCCCGAAGUCUGUGACCUAACCGCAAGGGAGGAGCAGCCGAAGGCAGGUCGGAUGACUGGGGUGAAGUCGUAACAAGGUAGCC
rnacentral:rRNA from 1 species